rnacentral:rRNA from 1 species
ACUCCUACGGGAGGCAGCAGUGGGGAAUAUUGCACAAUGGGCGCAAGCCUGAUGCAGCCAUGCCGCGUGUAUGAAGAAGGCCUUCGGGUUGUAAAGUACUUUCAGCAGUGAGGAAGGUGGAUAUGUUAAUAGCAUAUUCAUUUGACGUUAGCUGCAGAAGAAGCACCGGCUAACUCCGUGCCAGCAGCCGCGGUAAUACGGAGGGUGCGAGCGUUAAUCGGAAUUACUGGGCGUAAAGCGCAUGCAGGUGGUUUGUUAAGUCAGAUGUGAAAGCCCGGGGCUCAACCUCGGAAUUGCAUUUGAAACUGGCAAACUAGAGUACUGUAGAGGGGGGUAGAAUUUCAGGUGUAGCGGUGAAAUGCGUAGAGAUCUGAAGGAAUACCGGUGGCGAAGGCGGCCCCCUGGACAGAUACUGACACUCAGAUGCGAAAGCGUGGGGAGCAAACAGGAUUAGAUACCCUGGUAGCGUAG